AAAAUCCUUCCGGUCACUCACUCUGGUGACUCAUCUCUAAUUCACUUCCAAACGCUGCAAUUUUGCACACAAUGGAGGAAUUGAAGCUAACUGGAAACCAACUAAUAGGUUCCCGUCCUAUUUUGACAUUUUCAGCAAAUUUUGAAAAAAUACACAUUGGAAACUGUUAAAGGAGAUAUUGUUACAGAUAUUUGAAACGCCAAAGGACAAUAGAAAGUCUAAGCCAUUCCAUGAUCACGCUUUUUUUUUUCUCAAUAGUUGAUGACAAUAUAUGGUUUCAGAAUUACCAGGUUUGUGCUUGUAGUACAAGAUGUAAAGAAUCUCCAUAUACAUCCUUUACCUAUUGCAUUAGUUUAGAUGUUGAAAUCCAGAGAUUUGUUGAUUUUGGCAUCCAUUCACUGAAGAAUCAGAGUUUCUAUUCUUAACAUUUCAACUUGAAGGAUUUUAGGUGCAUUAACGAAUAGACUUGCGUACGAAAAAAUAAUGCUUAGCCACAACUUUGAUGACCAUGGAUAAGGGACCAAUUUGACAAGAGUUUAAAUUUGAUUUGCUACCAAUGUAAAACAUUUCAUUCUAUCAAUGAAUUAAGAUAUUCCACUGUUUUGAAUGAGUGGCUGUGGUUCCAUAUGGUUCACUGGUAGUGCAAAUUGCAAAAGUCCUAGAACUAGCAAUAGGUCAAAAUUGAAUCCUUAUUAUACGUACAUAUCAGUAUUUUUAACAAAUAAGUGUAUUGAGUCUUGUUGGCAGAAUAUGUAAUAAUAUAUAUUAAUGUUUCCCUCUU